AGUGAACGCUGGCGGUAGGCCUAACACAUGCAAGUCGAACGGCAGCACAGUAAGAGCUUGCUCUUACGGGUGGCGAGUGGCGGACGGGUGAGGAAUACAUCGGAAUCUACUUUUUCGUGGGGGGUAACGUAGGGAAACUUACGCUAAUACCGCAUACGACCUACGGGUGAAAGCAGGGGAUCUUCGGACCUUGCGCGAUUGAAUGAGCCGAUGUCGGAUUAGCUAGUUGGCGGGGUAAAGGCCCACCAAGGCGACGAUCCGUAGCUGGUCUGAGAGGAUGAUCAGCCACACUGGAACUGAGACACGGUCCAGACUCCUACGGGAGGCAGCAGUGGGGAAUAUUGGACAAUGGGCGCAAGCCUGAUCCAGCCAUACCGCGUGGGUGAAGAAGGCCUUCGGGUUGUAAAGCCCUUUUGUUGGGAAAGAAAAGCAGCAGGUUAAUACCCCGCUGUUCUGACGGUACCCAAAGAAUAAGCACCGGCUAGCUUCGUG
rnacentral:rRNA from 1 species